ACGGAAGGCAGCAGUGGGGAAUAUUGCACAAUGGGGGAAACCCUGAUGCAGCGACGCCGCGUGAACGAUGAAGUAUUUCGGUAUGUAAAGUUCUAUCAGCAGGGAAGAUAAUGACGGUACCUGACUAAGAAGCACCGGCUAAAUACGUGCCAGCAGCCGCGGUAAUACGUAUGGUGCAAGCGUUAUCCGGAUUUACUGGGUGUAAAGGGUGCGUAGGUGGCAUGGCAAGUCUGAAGUGAAAUGCGGGGGCUCAACCCCUGAACUGCUUUGGAACUGUCAAGCUUGAGUACAGGAGAGGAAAGCGGAAUUCCUAGUGUAGCGGUGAAAUGCGUAGAUAUUAGGAGGAACACCAGUGGCGAAGGCGGCUUUCUGGACUGUAACUGACACUGAGGCACGAAAGCGUGGGGAGCAAACAGGAUUAGAUACCCUGGUA
rnacentral:rRNA from 1 species